CUACGGGCGGCUGCAGGCGCGAAACCUUUACAAUGCACGCAAGUGUGAUAAGGGGAUCCAAAGUGCUAUACUUUUAGUAUGGCUUUUGCCAAGAGUAAAUAUCUUGGCGAAUAAGUGGUGGGAAAGACUUGUGCCAGCCGCCGCGGUAACACCAGCGCCACAAGUGGCAACCGCUUUUAUUGGGCCUAAAGCGUCCGUAGCCGGUCUCAUAAAUUUCCUGUGAAAUCGUUGAACUCAAUUUAACGACGUGCAGGAAAGACUGUGAGACUAGGGACCGGGAGGCGUCAGAGGUAUUCUUGAGGGAGCGGUAAAAUGCUAUAAUCUCAAGAGGACCCCCUGUGGCGAAGGCGUCUGACGAGAACGGAUCCGACGGUGAGGGACGAAAGCCAGGGGAGCGAACCGGAUUAGAUACCCCCGUAGUC
rnacentral:rRNA from 1 species